rnacentral:rRNA from 1 species
CCUACGGGAGGCAGCAGUGGGGAAUUUUGGACAAUGGGCGAAAGCCUGAUCCAGCAAUGCCGCGUGUGGGAAGAAGGCCUUCGGGUUGUAAACCACUUUUGUACGGAACGAAACGGUUCGCUUUAAUACAGUGGGCUAAUGACGGUACCGUAAGAAUAAGCACCGGCUAACUACGUGCCAGCAGCCGCGGUAAUACGUAGGGUGCGAGCGUUAAUCGGAAUUACUGGGCGUAAAGCGUGCGCAGGCGGUUAUAUAAGACAGUUGUGAAAUCCCCGGGGCUCAACCUGGGAAUUGCAUCUGUGACUGUAUAGCUAGAGUACGGUAGAGGGGGAUGGAAUUCCGCGUGUAGCAGUGAAAUGCGUAGAUGUGCGGAGGAACACCGAUGGCGAAGGCAAUCCCCUGGACCUGUACUGACGCUCAUGCACGAAAGCGUGGGGAGCAAACAGGAUUAGAUACCCUGGUAGUCCACGCCCUAAACCGAUGUCAACUGGUUGUUGGGUGCAUUAGUACUCAGUAACGAAGCUAACGCGUGAAGUUGACCGCCUGGGGAGUACGGCCGCAAGGUUGAAACUCAAAGAUAGUAGCGNGNGAGNGCGACGACGACGACGACGGAGGAGGAGG